CCUUUGGAGAACUAUAUCAAAUUAAAGUAGUGGGACAGCGACGAAAUAAGGUUCGAUGAAAAAGGAA
rnacentral:sRNA from 1 species